UUUUAAAGGUACAAUACAGUGAAAUGAGAUUACAUGGUGAAAUCACUGUUUUCUACUUUUUGAAGGAAAUCUUAGUUUUUCCUAAGCAACUGCACAUCUAUACCUAUACAGUCACCACUGCCUAUUUUUCCUCCUGGAAAGAAAAAAAAAAGAUAAGCAAAAAAAUUAAGAGAAAACUCAUUGGUAGCAAACAUUUCUGCAAUGUUAUGUCUACGCUGUAUAAAACAGAAAUAAAUACGUAUCCUCAGUGAAUAGGCAGUUAAUCACCAGAAAUCUAGUAGAGGUUUGGGCGUUGCAUUUCUGUUUUUGAACAUUUUGGAAGUUUGAGAUGACAGUGACAGAUGGAAGCACAGUUCUUGGCAAGUGGUUGGAGCUCUAGGUGGGGUAGGUGACAGGGGCAAGUGAACAUGCUAGAGAGGGAGUGGAGGUGAAUCUCUUCCAGAUUUGUCUUUGCUGAAACAAAAAUCUGUCUUGAGAAGAAUUUCAAAAGAUGCAAUUUGGAUACCAGAGUAGGUAUCAUAAACUUAAUAACAGUCAAGAAGAGAGGAGAACUUGACCAGCAAGAUUAGAAGUUGGCCAAGCUGAAAUGCAUAUUCCUGCUCACUGGCCUGCUGGAUGCUGCAGGGAAGUAUAAAUACACAGUAUCUUUUGGAAUGGACAGCGUUCUAGAUGGAGUAAUACAAGAGACCAAGACCUGUUCAUGAAACCUGGGUGAUAGUUUUAAAGGUGGUUCCUACAGAAACUGAACUAAGCUAUUUUAUGGCUAGUCAAAGGGGCAGUACACAACAGACUGCUGUAGCUCUUUUUGAACACAGACGAAGUGUCUCUGAAUAGAGCAACUCAUGAGUGCACCAGGAGCUGAUGUCCACUGAAGGUUUGGUUGAGGAAUCCAGAGAAGAACAG
ensembl:lncRNA